rnacentral:rRNA from 1 species
AUUGAACGCUGGCGGCAGGCUUAACACAUGCAAGUCGAGCGGAGAUGAGGUGCUUGCACCUUAUCUUAGCGGCGGACGGGUGAGUAAUGCUUAGGAAUCUGCCUAUUAGUGGGGGACAACAUACCGAAAGGAAUGCUAAUACCGCAUACGUCCUACGGGAGAAAGCAGGGGAUCUUCGGACCUUGCGCUAAUAGAUGAGCCUAAGUCGGAUUAGCUAGUUGGUGGGGUAAAGGCCUACCAAGGCGACGAUCUGUAGCGGGUCUGAGAGGAUGAUCCGCCACACUGGGACUGAGACACGGCCCAGACUCCUACGGGAGGCAGCAGUGGGGAAUAUUGGACAAUGGGGGAAACCCUGAUCCAGCCAUGCCGCGUGUGUGAAGAAGGCCUUAUGGUUGUAAAGCACUUUAAGCGAGGAGGAGGCUACUGAGACUAAUACUCUUGGAUAGUGGACGUUACUCGCAGAAUAAGCACCGGCUAACUCUGUGCCAGCAGCCGCCGCCGUA